rnacentral:pre_miRNA from 1 species
AUUGCUAGAUCAUAAUGUAAAAGUAUGUUUAGUUUCAUAAGAAACUACCAAACUGUCUUCCAAAGUGGCUGUACCAUUUUCCAUUCCCACUGGCAAU